AAUGGCUGAAGAACUGUGUCACAAGGAGGAGAAUCUCUUCUGAUGCCCCCAGAAGAGGCUUAUUUCCCAGGAGUUUUCCCAUGAGUUCGUUUCCAAGGCCAAACAUCCUUUCUCCACAGAUCUUUUUGAUCACCAUGGAGACAAUCUGCUGCUCUGUCCAAUGGAGAGUUUGAGCGGCAGUCACCAUGACAACCUGCGGGGGUAGAAGGACAGCUCAAAGCACCCCUCAGAUGAGAGCCAGGACAGGGACCGGAAGACACUGUGGUUCUCACAAGUGCAGCAGAUGAAGGGGGACUCCCUUCCUCUGUCUGAGCAAGAAACAGCUUGUGCCUUCACUGUAGUCUUCAUCCAGGAGGACCAGGAAGGAACAGAGCAGCACUGACAUCUGCCAGUCCCUGGGGUCAAGUGGCUUAAAAAAGGCACAGAUGUGACCUAAAUCCUGAUCACUGUGCUGGGGGCUCUCCUUGUGAAGACCGCAUCUUAGGGGACAGCCAGCCAUCUCGUUCCCUGAGGAUGUGCUGCCGUGGAUGCUGCUGUGAGUAUCACUAUUGCCAUUGUUAUGGUAACCACUUACAAGCACCUGCUAUGUGCCAGGAAGAAGAGCUGGAAGGACUGACAGGCUCCGGUGGCCACCCUACAACCAGAAGACAGACACCUGACAAUGUAUUGUCAGAUGAUGGAUUAGCCAAGCCUGGGGAAGAGAGCUGAGUGUACAGCUUCCCUCCCAGUCUCCUGGGUGACAAAACCGCUGGAUGACCCCGCCAACAAUAAUGAGAUGAAAAUGAAGAACACUGCAGUAUAAUGAGCAUGAUAAAAUAGAGAUGUUGCUAAAUAAUGGGUCGGCCAUGGCUGAGGAGCAGGAGAAAGAGCCAAGCCCAAAGGAGGUGGAUAAGGCCUUCCUGUGUGGUCUCCAAGCCUGACCCCCUGAUGUGUUGCUGUUGCUCAACCAGGCCAUAGAUGGUUUUGAGUCCCUAGGGUGGCAAAGAUGUCAGAGAGGGACUAGAGGGUGGGCCUAAGUGAAAAUCCCCAGCAGGCUCUAUCCUGGUCACUGUGGCUCUGACCUCCACCAGGGGAGGGACAAAAGUGUGGUAAGCACACAUGCUGAUGGUGGUUAUGAAUUACUGCCUUUAGUAGGAACCUGUUGCCUGCCAAUGAGUAUCAGCAAAUGGUCUGAGUUAACGCAUCAAAGUUUUUCAGAACAUUGCACCUCUCAUCUACAUAGUGCAGAGUGGAAGAAGCCUGUUAAUUAUGCUUUUGUUUGUAUUUUUGUUUAGUUGGUAGCUUGGAGUAUCUGCCAGCAGAGGCAGCUGCCCCUAGGGAGGGAGGUACCUGGGUGCUACAGGGAUGGCUGCCUGUAAAGAUUUCUGGCACCAAGCCUCUCUGCAGUUUUUGUUUUUUAUUUUUUAAAUAAUUAAAUUAAGACUUAUUUUUGAAUAAGUAAUAUCUACAUAGAGUACAAAAUUUAAAAGGAACAAAAGGGGUGCAGGAAACAUACAUAUCCCUUCUUCUCCCCCUAUUCCCAGCCACCCAUUUUCCUUCCCUCGAGGCAACCACUGUUACCAGUUUCUUCUGCAGUUUUCCAGAGAUAUUCUAAGCAUAAAUAAGUGCAUGUACCUCAACCUGCAAGCAUACUUACCAGUUUUUUUUUUUAAAAAAACACAAAUGUUAACGUACUGUAUCAACAAGAGUCCUGACAGAAAACAGAUGGCACACAUAAAGUGAGUCAUUUCAGUAGAGUUUAAUAAAUGGACUGUUUACCAAGGUGUAGGAAAAGCCCAAAGCCAGCAACAGUUGAGUGAGAGGGCACAGUGACAUAGUGUGAGCAACACUGCCAGUUGAGGAGCAUUCCAGGGAGGUGUGGGGGCAUAAUCACCUGUCCUUCCUCUCCUCCCUCUGACCUUUUGCUGCAGCACCUCAUGGGCUGCACUCAACCUAAGCCAGAGAACAAGAGUCUAUUGAUGCAGUUUAAAGAGGUCACUCUGGGGCACGGAACAGGUGGGGAAGGGCCAAGAGUGAAUAAGGAGGGCAAAUGUGGGCACUCAGCUCAUGCACUCAGCUCCUCAUCCUGUUCUUUGCUGUUUUCCACUUCACAGUCUAUCUGUACAUAGAGCCUCAUUCUUUCUGCUAGCUUAUUCUAUUGCAUUUCCGUUGUGGAAUACCACGCCACAUGCAAGAGACUGAAUUGUGACCCCCACCCCAAUUAUAUGUUGAAGUCCUAACACCCAAUGUUAACUGUAUGUAGAGUGAAGAAGUCAUUAAAGUUAAAUGAGGCCAUAAGGGUGAUGCCUAGAAUAAGGCUUAUUAAGAGGAGACACCAGAGCUCUCUAUCUGUCAUGUGAGGACACAGCCAGAAGAUGGCAGUCUGCAAGCCAGGAACUCAUCAGAAAACCCAGCAGCAGGAACCCUGAUCUUGAACUUCCCAGUCUCCAGAACUGGGAGAAAGAAAUGUCUGCUCUUUAACCCACCCAGUUCAUGGUAUUUUGUUAUGGCAGCCUGAGCUAAGACACCACACACACACACACACACA
rnacentral:lncRNA from 1 species